UACGUAGGGGGCAAGCGUUGUCCGGAUUUAUUGGGCGUAAAGAGCGUGUAGGCGGCCAGGUAGGUCUGCUGUGAAAACUCGAGGCUCGACCUCGAGAUGUCGGCGGAAACCAUCUGGCUAGAGUCCGGAAGAGGAGAAUGGAAUUCCCGGUGUAGCGGUGAAAUGCGCAGAUAUCGGGAAGAACACCCGUGGCGAAGGCGGUUCUCUGGGACGGUACUGACGCUGAGACGCGAAAGCGUGGGGAGCGAACAGG
rnacentral:rRNA from 1 species